CUCAUAUCACAUUCUUUCUGAAUAGAGUUACUGAUUUCUUACGCCUGACGCUCUAUGUUCAAUUUGGCUUCGACUUUAUGUACUCCAUUAAACUUGGAGAUUGAUGGGGCGUUAUUGCUUAUUGGAGCUCUGGUUAAGAUAGUUGCCAAACGAGGUGACGAUCUAUUUUUUUCGAGAUAGCUAGAGUUGGGCACCACUGAUGCACUAGAUCUAAUCCACGCAUAUGCUACAUCUUUAUCUGCAGAGUUGGUUGUUGGAGUCAGGAUGGAGCUCCACAGAGUUUAUUAGUGAUUCUUGCUGCGGAACUUGGAACAGGCAGCCAAGGUCUUCCAUUGGCAAGAAUUCUACAUGAAGAAUAUUACACCUGUCCAUCCUGCACGCCAUGUGUUCGUAUAUAUAGUGGUACUAUGGAUCUGGUAUGCAGUUGGUUUCAACAAGAAGUCAAUGGCGUGCUGCAUCUCUUUGAUUCAGUCGAUGACCCUAUCAUGCAUGGACACAGACAUGAUGAUGAGUCGAUGCACCACAGGCUUGUUGCACUCAAAUUUGAGAAGCUCAAUGAACUUGAGAGUGCCCGCAACAGCUAUUUCAACCUUCUUAACAGUGUCAUCUAUGCUAAUGGUUGUUCCCUUGCAUGACAGAUACAGUGCAGUAGCAACCUUGAUACGUUUGAAAGUGUUGCUGGAAUUGACUAGGGCAGAACUCACCUCAUCAGUGCGAUAUCUCCAGUCACGCAGCACCCAGCCUCCUUCACAUGCUGCAUCCUCAAGCUUACUGAUCCCGUGGAGCAGCCAUGAGUUCGUAAUGGCCCGCCCUUUGGCUGCCUCCAGCCUCCAGGGCAGCAUGGAUUGUGAUGAGGAGCUGCCGCAGCUGCUGCAGUUUCUCUUCGAUGCCAUUCUGGUGGUUGUACUUUUCUACCAAGGGGGAGAUGAUUUUUUGGAAAAUCUCUCCUGCAACCACUGAGCAGAUAACUUCCAGCAGAUCCACCAUCCUUUAUUGCAAUAUUUGAGAUCAAUGAUAAUAGAGCCUUGAGUAGUUCUAUUGAAGACUCAAAGCCAAACAUUUGCUAACUUAUGAUGGAAUGGAUGAGCUCAAAUCGUUGACAAACAGGGAGUCAAAGAAAUACCUAUUUCAUGUAUCCUUUUCCAACUUUUAUAUUUAUAGAAGAUAGUAUAAUCCCUUUUCAAGGGAAAGAUUAUCUUGCCAGUUACUACUCCAAGAGAAAAGUGCACUACUGGUUCUUUGUAUCAAAGAUCUUGACAGAUGUCUAACUGUUGAUGUACUGAUGUAUGCACUGGGUAGUUUCUUUUCUGAAGCUUCAAAUAAUGUUAAAAUAUGUGCAGGAAAGAAAUAUUUGUGUGUCUUUCUCAUGCCCCUUGUGGAGGCUUGAUGGAUGGAUUUUUUUUUUCUUGCUGAAUUGUCCUUAGUGUUACUUUGAUACUAUCUGUUGAGAUGUUGCUAUCAAUCCUGUACAUACUACAUAAGGCAUACGAUACAACAUUCUUAGUAACCUUCUGAGGUUUUUCAUAGCUACCACUUUGCAUUUGAGAUCACCAAUUUGGUGAAAGUACUGGUGAUUAGGCGUCAGGUUUCAGCAUUGAUUAUGCAGGACCUUCUUAGAUUGCAUUAUGUAUCUGAUGCAACUCUUGGUAAACUUUCAAUAUACAUAGUGAAAUUUACCACAAAAUUCAUUUCCACCCAGUGUGAUGAUCCACAUGAUUUUCCCAGUACAUCAUGAAGUCAAAAAUAAUUAAAAAUUUGCACUCUGGCAUAUAAUGCUUUGUUGUUUUCCUUGGAAGAAUAGCAAUUUCCAAUUCCUCUUGUUCUUUUCUAUACCUGGAACUUUCUCUGGUUCUUCUUUCAGCUUGAUGAUAUCAGCACUGAUGUUGUCAAACAUUGACACAAAUUGGUUACUGUUAGCAUUAUGUUAGAUAGGUCCCUAAUUUAACAUCAAGGGGUUCACUUCAUUUAGCCACGAUGUUUCUUUUGGUGAUAUGAUGGAGAUAAGGAAGUUAUUUUUUCCUGUAACUGUCCGUAGUAUUGUUGACUCACUCUCUUACCUUAUUGAUAAUUUCAGGUUUCUGUACACAUGGGAGACCUUUCCAUCAACUGGAUUUUAGCAAUCCAUGGAUUCCAUCUAGUUGACUAAUUCUGAACAAUAUACUCAGGCAUAGGCCCCUCGGCAAUCUUUGGCUGCUAACUCUGGUUUAACAAUCAAGGAUUCCAUCUGAAGUGCUGCAAAGUUAUGAUCUAAAAGAGACACCUGUCAAGUGUAAUAGAUCUGAUCGCUAAAGUUAGAAGAUUGUUACUUUGACAUAGAAAAAGAAUCACAAAUAAUAAGUGGACAUUGCGCUUAAUAUGAAGGAACCAUAUCUUGGAAGGCUUUCCUUCAAGCUUCAGCAAAUACAAAUUGUAAUUCAAGAAGCUAUGACAUUAAACGGAAAUGAAAUGGUUAAAUUGAGAAGAAACAAACAGCAUUAGGAACUACCUGGGUCUCCAUCCAUUCUAUCAGUGUAAACAGGCAGUGGAUGAGAUAUGAAGGUAUAUCGUUAAAGAUCCAAUUACUCACAGGAGUUCCGUCAUAAACUAAGAGUCAGAGUGUAGAGGUGUAUGUGGUUUUCUUUAAUGAGAUCCUGUAAGUCUCGUUGCUGGUUAGGGCAGAAUUUAUGAACUGCCAAAAAAUUAUUCAAGCAUAGGAGGAACUGGGUGGUUAAUCAGUAUGCUGGGCACUUGCACUAUUGACUUUCAGUGAAACUUGGCUCUGGAUCACUUUAUUUGCAGAAACUGAAAUUUCAAGGGCAGGGUACUACUGAUUUGCACAUUCGUUUCAGGAAUGCAGCUGGCUUCAGAAGAUGGCACUACGGCUCUGUUUGUUUUUGCUUAGUUUAUAAUCUAAGCGUGGCCGAGAGAAGCGAAGAUUUUCUCGUUUCUCGCUUCUCGUAGUUUAAAUCUCUGAAGCGGAUUACCACAGAAGCGAAAAUAAGCGAGGCGUUUGGUGGGAUUAUCGCUUAUUUCCACGGAUAAACCGAUUAUAAUCGGAAACAAACAGGGCCUACAUGCUCUUGUUGAUGGAUUUCAUAAUUGUGGGUGCCAUCUAUCACGUGAAUACUAUAUAAAAACGGAAGUGACCAUUUAAUAGUA